rnacentral:misc_RNA from 1 species
GAUGAAGAACGUAGCGAAAUGCGAUAAGUAAUGUGAAUUGCAGAAUUCAGUGAAUCAUCGAAUCUUUGAACGCACCUUGCGCUCCUUGGUAUUCCGAGGAGCAUGCCUGUUUGAGUGUCAUUAAAUUCUCAACCUCACCAGUUUUGUAACGAGACAGGUGAAGGCUUGGAUGUGUGGGGGGUUUGCAGGCUGCCUCAGUGCUGGUCUGCUCUCCUGAAAUGCAUUAGCGAGCUCAUAUUGAGCUUCCGUCUAUUGGUGUGAUAAUUAUCUACGCCGUGGAUUGGACUCAUGCUUGCUUCUAACCGUCCGCAAGGACAAUUUACUUGACCAAUUUGACCUCAAAUCAGGUAGGACUACCCGCUGAACUUAAGCAUAUCAAUAAGCGGAGGA